rnacentral:rRNA from 1 species
AGAUUAAACAUAAGAGUUUGAUCCUGGCUCAGAUUGAACGCUGGCGGCAUGCUUUACACAUGCAAGUCGAACGGCAGCACGGAGAGCUUGCUCUCUGGUGGCGAGUGGCGAACGGGUGAGUAAUGCAUCGGAACGUACCGAGUAAUGGGGGAUAACUGUCCGAAAGGAUGGCUAAUACCGCAUACGCCCUGAGGGGGAAAGCGGGGGAUCUUAGGACCUCGCGUUAUUUGAGCGGCCGAUGUUGGAUUAGCUAGUUGGUGGGGUAAAGGCCUACCAAGGCGACGAUCCAUAGCGGGUCUGAGAGGAUGAUCCGCCACAUUGGGACUGAGACACGGCCCAAACUCCUACGGGAGGCAGCAGUGGGGAAUUUUGGACAAUGGGGGGAACCCUGAUCCAGCCAUGCCGCGUGUCUGAAGAAGGCCUUCGGGUUGUAAAGGACUUUUGUUAGGGAAGAAAAGCUGGGUGUUAAUACCAUCUAGUGCUGACGGUACCUAAAGAAUAAGCACCGGCUAACUACGUGCCAGCAGCCGCGGUAAUACGUAGGGUGCGAGCGUUAAUCGGAAUUACUGGGCGUAAAGCGAGCGCAGACGGUUAAAUAAGUCAGAUGUGAAAUCCCCGAGCUCAACUUGGGACGUGCAUUUGAAACUGUGUAACUAGAGUGUGUCAGAGGGAGGUAGAAUUCCACGUGUAGCAGUGAAAUGCGUAGAGAUGUGGAGGAAUACCGAUGGCGAAGGCAGCCUCCUGGGAUAACACUGACGUUCAUGCUCGAAAGCGUGGGUAGCAAACAGGAUUAGAUACCCUGGUAGUCCACGCCCUAAACGAUGACAAUUAGCUGUUGGGGUACUAGAUGCCUUAGUAGCGAAGCUAACGCGUGAAAUUGUCCGCCUGGGGAGUACGGUCGCAAGAUUAAAACUCAAAGGAAU